CCUACGGGUGGCAGCAGUGAGGAAUAUUGGUCAAUGGACGAGAGUCUGAACCAGCCAAGUAGCGUGAAGGAUGACUGCCCUAUGGGUUGUAAACUUCUUUUAUAUGGGAAUAAAAUGUUCCAAGUGAGGGAUUUUGUAUGUACCAUAUGAAUAAGGAUCGGCUAACUCAGUGCCAGCAGCCGCGGUAAUACGGAGGAUCCGAGCGUUAUCCGGAAUUAUUGGGUUUAAAGGGAGCGUAGGUGGAUUGUUAAGUCAGUUGUGAAAGUCUGCGGCUCAACCGUAAAAUUGCAGUUGAUACUGGCAGUCUUGAGUACAGUAGAGGUGAGCGGAAUUCGUGGUGUAGCGGUGAAAUGCUUAGAUAUCACGAAGAACUCCGAUUGCGAAGGCAGUUCACUGGACUGCAACUGACACUGAGGCUCGAAAGUGUGGGUAUCAAACAGGAUUAGAUACCCUUGUAGUC
rnacentral:rRNA from 1 species